rfam:Canis lupus familiaris chromosome X, whole genome shotgun sequence.
AGGAGCAACAGCCCUAGUGGCGGGGCCAGCUCUGGAAACCUGGAUUCAGCCCCCGCAGGAACUCCGGAGGUCUCCGUCUGCAGGGCCUGGACGCUCCGGGGCGGG